rnacentral:rRNA from 1 species
UACGAAGGGGGCUAUCGUUGUUCGGAUUUACUGGGCGUAAAGCGUACGUAGGCGGAUUGUUAAGUCAGGGGUGAAAUCCUGGAGCUCAACUCCAGAACUGCCUUUGAUACUGGCAAUCUCGAGUCCGGAAGAGGUGAGUGGAACUCCUAGUGUAGAGGUGGAAUUCGUAGAUAUUCGCAAGAACACCAGUGGCGAAGGCGGCUCACUGGCCCGGUACUGACGCUGAGGUGCGAAAGCGUGGGGAGCAAACAGG